AUUGAACGCUGGCGGCAUGCCUUACACAUGCCAGUCGAACGGCAGCACGGGUGCUUGCACCUGGUGGCGAGUGGCGAACGGGUGAGUAAUACAUCGGAACAUGUCCUGUAGUGGGGGAUAGCCCGGCGAAAGCCGGAUUAAUACCGCAUACGAUCUACGGAGGAAAGCGGGGGACCUUCGGGCCUCUCGCUAUCGGGUUGGUCGAUAGCGGAUUAGCUAGUUGGUGGGGUAGAGGCCUAGCAAGGCGACGAUCAGUAGCCGGUCUGAGAGGACGACCAGCCACCCUGGGACUGAGACACGGCCCAGACUCCUACGGGAGGAAGCAGUGGGGAAUUUUGGACAAUGGGCGAAAGCCUGAUCCAGCAAUGCCGCGUGUGUGAAGAAGGCCUUCGGGUUGUAAAGCACUUUUGUCCGGAAAGAAAUCCUUGGCUCUAAUACAGUCGGGGGAUGACGGUACCGGAAGAAUAAGCACCGGCUAACUACGUG
rnacentral:rRNA from 1 species